GAUGAACGCUGGCGGCGUGCCUAAUACAUGCAAGUCGAGCGAACUGAUUAGAAGCUUGCUUCUAUGACGUUAGCGGCGGACGGGUGAGUAACACGUGGGCAACCUGCCUGUAAGACUGGGAUAACUUCGGGAAACCGAAGCUAAUACCGGAUAGGAUCUUCUCCUUCAUGGGAGAGGAUUGAAAGAUGGUUUCGGCUAUCACUUACAGAUGGGCCCGCGGUGCAUUAGCUAGUUGGUGAGGUAACGGCUCACCAAGGCAACGAUGCAUAGGCGACCUGAGGGGGUGAUCGGCCACACUGGGACUGAGACACGGCCCAGACUCCUACGGGAGGCAGCAGUAGGGAAUCUUCCGCAAUGGACGAAAGUCUGACGGAGCAACGCCGCGUGAGUGAUGAAGGCUUUCGGGUCGUAAAACUCUGUUGUUAGGGAAGAACAAGUACGAGAGUAACUGCUCGUACCUUGACGGUACCUAACCAGAAAGCCACGGCUAACUACGUGCCAGCCGCCGCGGUAAAAC
rnacentral:rRNA from 1 species